rnacentral:lncRNA from 1 species
CCGUAAUAUUUUGUUAGUGAUGGAGUUUCUAAGGUCUGUACCUUCUAUUUAUACGAAUCUUUAAUUGUAAAGACUCACAAGGUACCAUACCUUAUAGAGAGUCAAUAAUUUAAGAUUCAUAUAACAUCCAUUCAAAUUUACUUGUAUGCAUCUAUCUUCUCGGAUUUAUAUCUCAUAUCGUUUCUUCACAUCUAAGAUAACUAUUAUCUCUUUUAGAAGAACAAUUUCUUCUAAUACCUC